GAGCAGCCUGGUCCUGACACUUCUCUUCAAGUGGCUCCGGAGCCAAUCCUGCCUCGUGCUGCUGUAUAUCCUUAGAAAAUAGACUGCCAGGUGCUGAACACCCACAUUUUGAAAUGAUGGCUCAUGGCUCAUGGGGCUUAGUAAGCCAUUGCAAACCGCUGGGGUCACGUUCUGCUGUCCAUACAGCACGGAGGUGAACAACUCUCCCAUUAAACAUCGAGGGAUUAUGGAAAAUUUCUGUACGGAACUAAACAAUGAAAUUGUGGCAGGAAAGCUGGAGGUGACCAGGUUUGCCCAUCGCCUUUCUGCAUUGUCCCAGUGACUGACCACAGGCCCAGACAGCUGGUGUCCAUGCAGACCUUUGUGCUGCACACUGUCCGUGGGGACACCGUGAGCUGUCUCUAGGUCGGCGCUGUAUCUUGCUGUGUUUUCCUUUUUCCGCUCCUCCAUGCCUUCUUCCCAAGCAUCACUCUUUGAGAGGCAUCAUCAGUGCUGCUGUGGUUUCUCCUAUACACCAUACAGGUGUCCCUUCAGGCUGGUGGUCAGGGCACAACAUAUCCCAGGCUGUAACGCAUCUCAGCUCCCCAUCUCACUGUCUUCCCUGCGAUGGCCUAUAAAGCCACCCUGUUGUAAUGCCUAGGGAAGGGUACAGCCAUGCUGCGUGCAAUUUCUCACAACCCAGCUUGUCUUGCAGCUGUUAUCAUCUCGAGCCUGAGGUCUGACUCUACUAACCCUGUGCUGGAAAGCCUCCUGUCCCCUCGGGGUCAGCAGCACGCUGGCAUGCCACCACAAGCCGAGCUCUUUGUGCAGCUGCAGCACCUAAGCUGAAGAUGUACCCCGGGGUUCCUACAGGCUGCUCUCCUUGCAGGUUUUCCCAGCUUGCCUGCCAGCCCCAGGUAGGACAGCCUGUCUUCCCUGCCUCCCCCCCACUCCCCAACAUCUCUCCAACUUGUUGAAUCAUUGCUCCAGCCCUGAGUGACUCCUAGGUCACAACGCUCAUUUUGCAAGGAUAAGCAAGCAAGCUUUUAUCAUCGCUUCAGGUGCCCCAGGUGAGAUUAAGCAUCACCCUUGCAGUGAUGCUGGGGACAAGUUGCCUGGUGGAGGGGUUGUCUAUCCAGUGUCCUCCCCGUGAUGUCCCAUGGAAUUAGUUUUACCAUAAUCCCAAAGGUCGCUGCUCUAGUCCAGGGUCAGAAGCCCCUUGGGUUCUCCUUGGUCAGUGGAAGGAAGGACUGAAAGCCCUGCUGGGCUCUGAGUUCAGCAGGAACACACAGGCAAUGCCGCAGCAGCUCCUAUGGAUGGCAGAAGAACUUCCUCAACUAUCUGGCUGGUGUUCCCAGAUGAGCCUUUCCUUGCUGCCCACCUGGAUGCUUUCUUCAAUGUUAACUGGAGAACAUUUCUCACAUCCCGUCCAACACAUUGCCCUGCGUGGGAAAACGCCUGCUGAAUUUGGUAACCGGAGAUGUUGCCCCUUGAGUUGCUGGUGAAGCUAUCCCAAUGCAUUGCGUAGUCACGUAUAACACUGUAACACACACCCUGGGUAUUUUUCCAGGGUAAAAAGUGCUAGCACACUUUCACAUUUUGUCUUCACAUUUUCCUAUUCUGUACUCAACAGAGUACAUACGUAUUCGCUGUUGUGUUUCUCUUGUGUUGUCAUGGACUUUUCCAGCCUGGCAUCCAGGAGUGCAGGACCAGACAUGCACAGCACGAUUCUCCUUUUUCUGCAGUAUCAGUUGCAGUCAUUACCCAAAAUACUCUGUCAACCCUCAGCAAGGGGAUACUGAGUUGCUCACCUGUAGGUUACUCCACUCUCGAAACAAGGCUGGAAAGGGGCCAUCAGAGAUGUUCCUGCUGCUCUGCGUGUUAACACGUUUCUGCCUCAGGCUGGAAAGGAAAUAAUCAUUUACUUCAAACCUCCAGAUGAAUGUAGAGCACCAGGGACAGAUUUAGCUGCUGUAGCUAUGGCUUUCCCUGCUCCGUGGCAAAUGUAUAGCUGGCUCCUACAGCUGCGACCUGGCUUGGGGUAUGUUUAAGGAAAGCACUGCAGGAGGAGGGGGCACUGAACAGGGGAGGAAGAGCAGCUCAUCUGAGACUACAGAGCUACAUGGGGGCAAUUUGUGCUGGAGCCUAAUGAGGGAGGACGUUGGCUCCUUGUAUUUUCCCCUGCAGAUGAGAUCCUUAGAGAGGACUCUGUGAUUCUCUGCUUUCUCUCAAUGGCUUUCCAUCAGUGGAACAUCUGUUAGUGUCUGGAGAGGCUUCCUCACAGCAGAAGCUGAAGCAUGAAGCUGUUUCCCAAAAAUUCAGCUCCCAUUACAUUUCUCUGAGUCCACACAUCUGUAGGUAACCCUGAACACAUGAAUCGACACCAAGAGACACACUGGUGGCUGCCCACAUCUACAAAGACCUGAAACACUGGCACCAAGAGCUGUGAACUUCCCCUACGAUGUGAAGCUGAAGAGGAGGUCCUUCUUUGCACAGGUCCACCUUGCCCAUGCAGGAUCUGCGGGAGGACACACUGGUGAGCAGGGAUGCUUAUACCUCUUUCACUUUGUGGUGGGUUGACCCCGGCUGGAGGCCAGAUUCCCACCAAAGCUGUUCCAUCACUCCCCUCCUCAACUGGACAGGGGAGAGAAAAAAAUUAGCAAAAGCUCGUGGGUAGAGAUGAGGACAGGGAGAGAUCACUCACCAAUUACCGUCAUGGGCAAAACAGACUCAGCUCAGAAAAAUUAAUUUAAUUUAUUACCAGUCAAACAGAGUAGGAUAAUGAGAAAUAAACCCAAAUCUUAAAACACCUCCCCCCACCCCUCCGUUCUUCUUGGGCCCAACUUCACCCCCCCAUUUCUCUCCCUCCUCCCCUGCAGCGGCACAGGGGGACGGGGAAUGGGGGUUGCGGUCAGUUCAUCACACGGUGUGUCUGCUGCUCCAUCCUCCUCAGGGGAGGACUCCUCACACUCUGCCCCUGCUCCAGCGUGGGUUCUCUCCCACAGGAGACAAUCUUCCACCAACUUCUCCAACGUGAGUCUGUCCCACGGGCUGCAGUUCUUCACCAACUGCUCCAGCGUGGGUCCCUCCCACGGGGUGCGGACCUUCAGGACCAGACUGCUCCAGCAUGGGUCCCCUACAGGGUCACAAGUCCUGCCAGCAAACCUGCUCUGGCAUGGGCUCCUCUCUCCACGGGGCCACAGGUCCUGCCAGGAGCCUGCUCCAGUGUGGGCUUCCCAUGGGGCCACAGCCUCCUUCAGGUGUCUCCACCUGCUCCAGAAUGGGGUCCUCCAUGGGCUUCAGGUGGAAUGUCUGCUCCCCAUCAUCCUCCAUGGGCUGCAGGUAGAAUGUCUGCUCCACCAUGGAUCUCCAUGGGCUGCAGGGGGACAAUCUGCCUCACCAUAGUCUUCUCCAUGGGCUGCAGGGGAAUCUCUGCUCCGUCGCCUGGAGCACCACCUCACCCUCCUUCUUCUGCACUGACCUGGGUGUCCGCAGAGUUGUUCCUCUCACAUAUUCUCACUCCUCUCUAUGGCUGCAAGUGCUCUUUGUUUGGUGGUUUUUUUUUUUUCCCUUCUUAACUAUGUUAUCACAGAGGCGCCACCACCGUUGCUGAUGGGCUUGGCCUUGGCCAGCGGCGAAUCAGUCUUGGAGCCGGCUGGCCUUGGCUCUGUUGGACAUGGGGGAAACUUCUAGCAGCUUCUUGCAGAAGCCCCUCUGCUACCAAAACCUUGCCAUGCAAACCCAAUACACAUCUCACCCAGAUAUUCCUAAUGGGAUCGACGGAACUACAAUGAGUCUCACCUCUCCAGAGAAAGUGGCCCAUACUGAUGUGUCAACUGUCCCCAAAUGUUGGUUGUUUAAAAGGCUUUUGGAAGCCAGACUUUGGGUCCCAAGUCACUUUGGUGACUUUUUAAAGAUUUCAGUGGUUUUUAAAAUGUCAUCUUCCUUCUAUCCCAGUGGUUUGGAGAGGUUGUUAUCCCAACAGAGCACACCAUCACUCCAACAAGGUGCUUAAACACUGAACAGCCAAAGUAUGGGAACACCGAAAGGUCACUUGCGUAAGUCUGCUCUGGGAUAUGGAGCACCUGCCUCUGGUCUCUCCCGUUAUUACCUUAGUUCUCUGCCAUGUUGCUUUUCACAGUAUAGACCACUUCAUGAAACACGUGAAACACAAGAGUGCUUGGAAGUUUGCUGUUGACUUCCCAUGACCAGUCAAACCCAAACAACAAGCAAGGGAACCUAAUUUUCCACUUCCCAACCUUCCAUCACAAAGCUGCGCACCUCCUAAUGGCCUCCAUUCAACCAGAGCCUCUCACCAGCUCCUGAAGGAAGGCAGCAGCUGUUAGAGCACUCAGCGCUGCUGUGUUCAACUAUAACAUCAGAAAAAUGCAUAAAACAAUGAAAGCAAACUGCAAGGUCCUCACUGUUGUCUGAAAAAGAAAGGCUGCUGUCAUGGAAAGCCAUGCUCUCCAUGAGCAUUUCUGUAUUCGAUUUUCUGCUUGACAAUUUGUUCCAAGUAUCAAAGGCUCAAGUCUCUCCUGAUAAUUCCUUCCGGUUGGGGAAUAAGCAUCUGCUCUCGCUGAUUGCGGGUCACUUCUCUCAUGCAAAGCUUGAUUGAGACAUGCAUGUCAAGGUCAGAAAUGAGGCUGAGCUUGUAUUGUUCACCUAAAAAAACCCACCAAGCAGCAGAAAAAGAGAUAAUAAUAUGCUUUUAAAAUGGACAUGGGUAAUGUGCAUUUUGUCAUGAGUAAUUAUGAUGUAAAGAAGAGUCAACUGUAGCAUUCUAAUGCAUUAAUUGCUCAUUAGUUGUUAGGUUUAUAUAUUUUUGCUGGAAAGGGAUGGAGAUACUCGUACAGAAAGUGGCCUAUUUGAAAGGGUGGGAAGACUAAAGGUUUAGAAAGAGGAGGGUGAAUACAGUGUGAUUGGAGCACAAAAAUAGAGCAUUCCAGCCAAAAUAAAGGACCGAAUUAUCAACAGGACCUAAGCAGAUUGCUGGUCAAGAACAGCUUUGCACAAACAUGAGCUGCCUUCAGAGUGCUUUGAGGUGACAUGGCUGCAAAGUGUUUUGGCCUCUGGGGUCUGCCAGUUUACUCAUCCGCUGCUUGCAAGACUGAAAAGAAACUUGAGGAAUCAUCAUCUGCCUUGCAAAAUAUCCAGUCCCGAUGUGUUUGCUAGGCGGAGCCUUUUCUUUCCUGCUUUUGGGCUUUCACUUCUGUGAGCUGUUCCACAGUCAUUUCCAAUGACGAGCGUCCCCCCGCUGAAAAAGCGCGCGCCAGGCUUUCCGUGUCAAAUCAGCGAUAAAGCUCUUGGGGAAACAAUUUCCUCCAUGACAUUUGUAAAGGGAAAUUCUGCCUGGAAGGAAGCACUAGCAGGGUGAGUUCCUGCACGGCCCCAGAUGCAAUAAGCCGUUUAAAUUGCUCGCUGCAGUGGGCAGGCCCAUCACAACCAUCCUAGAGGGGGAGAAAAAGGCAUUUCUGAAAUACUUACCUUUUUUUAAAUACACUUUCCUUUUUUUCACUUGCACAAAACGAUGUCUCUGAUGGACUCCAAACAGAGCGUGGGCUGAACUCCAUCCUCUUUCAUCUGGAUCCAGGAGGCGUUCUCACCCCCGCUCCCUCCACCUCCACACCCGAUGUCAAGUGCAUUGGGAAGAAGCUCCAAUCUGGAGCACAACAGCAUACGCACUGAAGCUAGCUAGCGAGCUGGAGAGACUACUGAUGAGCUGCCUAAGUGCUUUCCUUUCACUCCUGCUCAAGAUUUGAGGCUCCAUCUCCCUGUCCUAGCCAAGUGGAGAUUCAAGAGGCAGAAGAGGAUCUCCAGUCAUCUCUCCCAUGCUGAUGAUCCCCAUGCAUCCUCUGAACCAUGAGUGUCUGUGAUGGCAGAGUGAGCAAGCCACAGUCCGCACAUCCGAUCAAGCCAGUAGAAAUAACGUGGCCUGUGGGAACAGGUUGCCUCACCCCAAGUGCUGACCACACAUGUUCUGGUGUUACCCCAACGCCUGGUCCAGCUGCAAGCCCAGACUUCUUUGGUUAGCACGCUGUGAGCAGGCGUGUCUGGCACCCACGAGGGACCAUUGGUAUUAGAUCACACUUUGUGAUCUUGAACAGAGCGAAAUUAAGAUCGCGUGUUGCCUGUACGAUCCAGUUUAUGACCUAAUGAUGCAAGAGAGAAAGUACUGUGAAGGGAAUUUAAAGCACAUAAAGUCCUGAGGCUCUCCUGAGCCAAAUCUGCAUAGCUCAUCCCUGGAACGACUGCAGAAGGAAACUCCUUGUGUUGAGCCAUGAGACGCUGCAGAUUGUAUGCCUACCUGCCAGGGAUAAUUUACUGGGCGCAGAACUGCUCUUGCAAAGCCAUCGAUCACCUCCAUGGUGUUGUCUAUGAGGACUUUAAUGCUGCAGACAGUUUCUGGUGAAAUCAAGCAACAGAAGGUAAAAACGUGUGUUCCUUGCAGAAGAUCUGCACUUUGUCAGCUGACGAUCGAACUUUGCUAUCUCUUAAAUAAAUACUCAGUCCUUUGAUGCUUUUAGUCCCCAAACUGUCUUAAGAGUGAAGCAAACGAUGGCUUGGGAAAGUCAGU